GAAACACAAACAGUAUUAUUUAAAACUUUGAACGGGCGUGCGGCCACGUUUGGGCGUAUCUAUUGCAGUACACGGUUUGAGACGUGUCGAGAAUAUUAAUGUGUAUAUAGGUACACGUAUGUAUAAUAAUAACACUCGCCUCAGGUAUUGAACAGUGGCGUACUAUUGUCGUGAAAUGAUUCCGCAGACACAUUGUGUAGGUACGAAGAUAUUUUGUUUUCGCAUUACAUUGUGCGUGUCCGCGGUUCAGUGGCUUAAUAUAUCAGCACCACUAUUAUAUUAUAAUAUCAUCAUUAUAAGCUUUUUUUGACGACUUCAUAUGGAAUAUAAUACGAGUAUAAAAGUAGGUACAUCGAACGUCGAGUGGAUUUUUCAUUAUUUUAUUUUGUACACGAUGUGCGUAAUGUGUAUAGAUGACUACCUACAGAUUUAUUUAUUGACGUGUAAUUCAGUAAUGAUUGGUCUCGCCAUGUAUUGUUAAGCCAUAUUAAAUUAUGGCACAGAAAGACUUCAUCAAUUGUUUAUUCAUGCUGAAAUAGCGAAAUGAAGUAUUUUGUUUUUAUUUCCAUUUUUAAGUUUUCAAAUGUACCACCUGUUUAAAAUUUGUGGUCAUAAAACUGUAAAUAAUUACGUUAUUAUUAUUUAGAUUUGUAAAUAAAAGUGAUAAAAAUUUGUUUCA